rnacentral:rRNA from 1 species
UACGGAGGGUGCAAGCGUUAUCCGGAUUCACUGGGUUUAAAGGGUGCGUAGGUGGGUCUGUAAGUCAGUGGUGAAAUCUCCGAGCUUAACUCGGAAACUGCCAUUGAUACUAUAGGUCUUGAAUUUUCUGGAGGUUAGCGGAAUAUGUCAUGUAGCGGUGAAAUGCUUAGAUAUGACAUAGAACACCAAUUGCGAAGGCAGCUGGCUACAGGAACAUUGACACUGAGGCACGAAAGCGUGGGGAUCAAACAGG